AGAGGCGGUCCAUCUGCGCGCAGAGGCCCUGGAUCUGCGCCACCUCCCUCCGCACGGCCUCGGCGUCCGUCGUGUCCGGCGCGCCGACGGGCGGCGCCGAGGCGGAGUAGGAGGAGGAGGCGGGCGCCGAGGNGAGGCGAGCCGCUCGACGCGGGCCAUGCCGUCGCGGGCCGACAGCAGCAGCCGCCGCACGCUCUGGUACAUCUCCGACAGCGUCGCGCCGCCCCCGCC
rnacentral:lncRNA from 1 species